rnacentral:rRNA from 1 species
UAUCUAAUUAUUAUAGCGAGUAGUUUUGAUACCAUUCCGAACUCAAAAAUAUAUACUUUGCGCUUAUGGUAACAUUUUUAUGUGAGAGUAAGAAAUAAUUAGAUAA